CUUGUACUCCCUCCGUACAAAAAUACUUGUCAUUGAAAUGGAUGUAUCUAGAUGUAUUUUAGUUAUAGACACAUCCAUUUUGAUGACAAGUAAUUCCGAACGGAGGGAGUACUUG
rnacentral:pre_miRNA from 1 species